rnacentral:lncRNA from 1 species
GAGGACCAUGUAAGCCCUAGCGGUGAGGAGCGCCUUCGAAUGUAUGGAAGGAUUUUACGCGGCAGAGCAGGAUUCCCGAGAUUUUGAGCAGCGAUCACAGGUUAGAGUGAUUUGAUUCGACUCAAUCGCAGACAGCCUUGGUACUUGCCGAUGCGGUCUACUUGAAGGUCGAAACUCUCAAGGUAUGUUCCUGGAUCCUGGAACUCGUAGUUUUUUUCACUAGAUUCUUAGUCGCGAAGCAGCUUAAGAAAAAUGCGAGAAGCUUGGAAGAAUAGAGAGAGAACGUUUAUAGCACACAAUCUUAUUGAUCCAAGGUUGCCUUUUGCUUCUUGUCUAACGCGUGAUACUUGUGAAUGCAGACUCGAUGUCGAGAUCCGUGAGCUUCGAGCCAAGGCUGCUACUAAGUCCCCAAGCUACAAGUCUACUCGGGUUUCUCGCUGGAAACACUUACUAGCGAUUCAAGGUAUGAGUCUCGACUACGCAACCAUCAUUUAAUCUCCUGCUCUUUGUUGACCGGAACAGAAACUGAACCAUCAUCUUCGAUUCCGUCAGGCUGACCAAUUUUCAGCUUGGUGGUCUGUUUUCGUUCCUGUAGCUGGCUGAGCCUCGAACUUGAAGCUUUUGAAUCCUUUUGAGUCUUCUGGUACGUCGCUCGUACACUCUGGCUGGGGAGUAACCACAGCUAGAGAAGCUGAGUGUCCCUCCUCUUCCUCAGAACUUUCUGAUGAGGUGUCCUUUGAACUUUCAGAAUCUGGAGAUUCAUCUUCUUCCAUAUUGUCAAAAGUAACCACCGAUUUCUUUCCUUGAUUCGUCGACUGUUCAUCUUUGCUUCCUU